UGGGGAAUAUUGGACAAUGGGCGAAAGCCUGAUCCAGCCAUGCCGCGUGUGUGAAGAAGGUCUUCGGAUUGUAAAGCACUUUAAGUUGGGAGGAAGGGCAGUUACCUAAUACGUGAUUGUUUUGACGUUACCGACAGAAUAAGCACCGGCUAACUCUGUGCCAGCAGCCGCGGUAAUACAGAGGGUGCAAGCGUUAAUCGGAAUUACUGGGCGUAAAGCGCGCGUAGGUGGUUUGUUAAGUUGGAUGUGAAAUCCCCGGGCUCAACCUGGGAACUGCAUUCAAAACUGACUGACUAGAGUAUGGUAGAGGGUGGUGGAAUUUCCUGUGUAGUGGUGAAAUGCGUAGAUAUAGGAAGGAACACCAGUGGCGAAGGCGACCACCUGGACUAAUACUGACACUGAGGUGCGAAAGCGUGGGGAGCAAACA
rnacentral:rRNA from 1 species